UCUUCCCCUAUUCAAACACCCAUAUAAAACCUCCUCCUCCUCCCCCGCCGCACUCAGGGCCAGUGGUCUUAUUGCCCUCUCCCGCCCGCUCCCAGGCUCCAAUAAACUUCGUCUGUUGCGUCUCCUGAUUCAGUGGACUCAGUCAAGCUUCAGUUUACUCUAAUAACCACCUGGGUGUGAGCGGAUCUGUGUUGGCAGAAGACGUAGUGAAAGCGGAGGAACCCUCAGCAGUCUAGGACCCAGGGAAUCCGCAAUACAGAAGUUCAUGCCUUCAGAAUUUGGCGCUUUUCCCAGGCACCCCCGCGGCUAAGGAGCACGCCCUGCCGGCGCAUGCGCAAUAGAGCCCACCGGCAACGCCCAUGAGGUCCGCCAUGACUUCCUGCUCAGGAAGUCGCCUCAGAGCGCUCUGCAGUUUCUGGUCAGACGAAGUCAGUCCAGGCUGAGAUCACUGUGGAUUUCAGCUGUGUCACUGCAGAUUCCUCACUCUGACUCACUGGCUUUUAAUGUCAGGAGAGAAAACUAAGCAGCAUUUUGCAGUUUUCAGUAAGAUGCUCUAAAUAUACUCGGAUACUAUUCCAAUGCGAACUGGCUGCAGUGACUGCACAGGGCGGUGGAGCGGAUCUCUCAGGCGGACUUGGAUGUCAGUCCUUCCUGCUGUCUGGCUGGAAUGGUCAUGCGGGUGGAGCACAGAGGCCGUCAGCCAGACUCCUAGAUUUCAGCUCGGUGAUAACAGAGUGUAAUGUCUGGCAGAAGUAUGAUGCAGAAAAUCCUUAUCUCAGUCCUGCUUUCUACAAUGGAUCACAAAUUGUAAGGUGUGCUAUAGGAUACCACAAAUAACAUUUCUGGGGGGCAGUUACAGACUUCUCUCCUACUCAUUUGGAAUGAAAAUUCUCUCCCGAUCCCUAAACUCCUAUUCCUGGUGGCGACAUCAGCCUGGGCAUAGAAACUCAGAAUUGCAAGUGUGUUCUUUUCAGCCCCAGACAGAGCUCACGUUGCAGGCCUCCAGAGCAGGGCCAACUGCAAAAGCAGCCUGAUUCUCUGAGCAUAUGUGGGGAGAGCAGAGGACAAUAGAAGAGUCCGCAGCUCAUCCUCUCCUCUGAGGAACAGAAGCAGAUCCUACAUCCUUGAACUAUUCUUCAAAUCUGAUGAUGCUUCCUAUCUGAUCAGUGUCUCACUCCUCAGUGUACUCAGGUGAUGUCUGAUCACCCCGGGCUCUCUCUUCAGUUAGAAUCCUGUCAGGGCAGUUCUGCCAGACUCCCUCACUGUCCCCGCUCCAUGCUCCCUGUUAGCUCCAAGCACACACGAGCCCGUCCACCAUUCAGAAUCCACCUCAACAAACCACAUUUCAGUGCAUUCUAUACUGAGGGUUAUGUCCCAACCAAAUAAAA